rnacentral:rRNA from 1 species
AAGGGUGGCGUAGGCGGCCUGUUAAGUCAGGGGUGAAAGACGGUAGCUCAACUAUCGCAGUGCCCUUGAUACUGAUGGGCUUGAAUUGACUAGAGGUAGGCGGAAUGUGACAAGUAGCGGUGAAAUGCAUAGAUAUGUCACAGAACACCGAUUGCGAAGGCAGCUUACUAUGGUCUUAUUGACGCUGAGGCACGAAAGCGUGGGGAUCAAACAGGAUUAGAUACCCGUGU